ACUCCUACGGGAGGCAGCAGUGGGGAAUCUUGCGCAAUGGGCGAAAGCCUGACGCAGCAACGCCGCGUGGAGGACGAAGGCCUUCUGAGUUGUAAACUCCUUUCAGCAGGGACGAUUGUGACGGUACCUGCAGAAGAAGCACCGGCCAACUACGUGCCAGCAGCCGCGGUGAUACGUAGGGUGCAAGCGUUGUCCGGAUUUAUUGGGCGUAAAGAGCUCGUAGGCGGUUUGAUUAGUCGGGUGUGAAACCUCCAGGCUUAACCUGGAGCCGCCACUCGAUACUGUCAUGACUAGAAUUCGGUAGGGGACCACGGAAUUCCUGGUGUAGCGGUGAAAUGCGCAGAUAUCAGGAGGAACACCAGCAGCGAAGGCGGUGGUCUGGGCCGACAUUGACGCUGAGGAGCGAAAGCGUGGGGAGCGAACAGGAUUAGAUACCCUGGUAGUCCACGCCGUAAACGUUGGGCACUAGGUGUGGGGA
rnacentral:rRNA from 1 species